rnacentral:rRNA from 1 species
CUGGUUGAUCCUGCCAGUAGUCAUAUGCUUGUCUCAAAGAUUAAGCCAUGCAUGUCUAAGUAUAAAUGGAUUAUACAGUGAAACUGCGAAUGGCUCAUUAAAUCAGUUAUAGUUUAUUUGAUAAUACCUUUUACUUGGAUAACCGUAAUAAUUUUAGAGCUAAUACAUGCGUGAAAGUGCGACUUUUGUGGAAGCACUGUAUUUAUUAGAUACAAAACCAAUCGAGCUUGCUCGUUACCUUGGUGAUUCAUAAUAACUAAACGAAUCGUAUGACUUUAUGUCGACGAUGAUUCAUUCAAAUUUCUGCCCUAUCAACUUUCGAUGGUAAGGUAUUGGCUUACCAUGGUUACAACGGGUGACGGAGAAUUAGGGUUCGAUUCCGGAGAGGGAGCCUGAGAAACGGCUACCACUUCUACGGAGGGCAGCAGGCGCGCAAAUUACCCAAUCCUGACUCAGGGAGGUAGUGACGAAUAAUAACGAUACGUGACUUCGGUCUAGUAAUCGGAAUGAGUACAAUUUAAACCCCUUAAUGAAUUCCAUUGGAGGGCAAGUCUGG